rnacentral:lncRNA from 1 species
GCUUUAACAUUAAGUUUAGAAAUAGAAAAAGGUUUCUAAUAUUAUAAAAUUAAUAGAAAGAGUAGACUUUAUAAACUGCUUGCGGAUGAAAAACACUCCAACCUUGAAUAAGAAAAUAUAAGUGAAUAUAAAAAAGAAGAUGUGGUAUGAUUGCCAAUGAGACAACUAUCCACAAAAGACCAAAAUGACACAGACAUUAACAACUAUAGGUCACCGUACGGCCUUUAACAAUGAGCAAAGCCCAUACCGCAUAGUGAGCUAUAAAAGGCCCCGAUAAGACAAUGUAAAACAAUUCAAACGAGAAAACUAACGGCCUUAUUUAUGUAAAAAAAAUGAACGAAAAACAAAUAUGUAACACAUAAACAAACGACAACCACUGAAUUACAGGCUCCUGACUUGGAACAGGCACAUACAUAAAUGAUGUGGCGGGGUUAAACAUGUUAGCGGGAUCCCAACCCUCCCC